rnacentral:rRNA from 1 species
CAUGUCCUACGGGGGGCAGCAGUGAGGAAUAUUGGUCAAUGGCCGGGAGGCUGAACCAGCCAAGUCGCGUGAGGGAAGACGGCCCUACGGGUUGUAAACCUCUUUUGUCAGGGAGCAAGGGGCGGGUCGAGACCUGCUGUGAGAGUACCUGAAGAAAAAGCAUCGGCUAACUCCGUGCCAGCAGCCGCGGUAAUACGGAGGAUGCGAGCGUUAUCCGGAUUUAUUGGGUUUAAAGGGUGCGCAGGCGGAGGCACAAGUCAGCGGUAAAAUCGCGGGGCUCAACCCCGCACCGCCGUUGAAACUGG